rnacentral:sRNA from 19 species
CUUCAGGAUCGCUAGGGUUCCGGUCGUGUGGCGCAGGCGCGCCGCGCGAUGUCUGGUCCGAGAGCAAUCCGGUCUUGCCUUCGCCUCGACGAGAGGAAACGGCGAGGCUCCACGGAGGGAUAAAAGCCCGGGAGGU